rnacentral:lncRNA from 1 species
UCUCCUGCCUUGCCUAUCAUUCACUCCCCCAGGGCCCGCAAAAGCUUCUGCAUGCACCAUGGGGCCUGCUGGCUCCAGAGCGAGGGAGCAGCUCCUCUCCCCUUGGAGACACUUGUGUGUCGGCUUCCUCAUCAUACACUGAAUCCUGCCAUGCAGUACUGGGGAAAAAGGGGGCCAGGUACCAGUGCUGAUUUAAAGAAUAAAAUAAAUACAUAAAAAUGGGGACUGCUGAGAAAAGUCACGUGCAGAGAAGAAAUACCACAGCUCCAAAUGAGGACUGGAUCGAACGGGUCAAAGAAGGAACGGCAGCUGGACUGAACCAAGCUCAGCCCCUUUCACCUAAGCCCAGAGCAACCUCAAGAGCCUAACUGGAACACCAACACCAGGACUUCUCUGCAGAUGGGGGAGAUGAGCAUCCUAGCUGGGAGAGUUUUCUUUUUCUUUGAAAACCUGCCGGGGCAGUUCCUGCCUUUUGCCACACUGCGUUUUAUCUCGGGGUCAAGUUGUGUUGCUUUUGGCCAAAGACUGCUUGGAGACGAAUGCAUUCCUGGAAACUAUGCUGUAAAUCCAAUUGUCAAAAAGCAAGCUCUGCUGUCCCAUGGAAACAAUCUUACUUUGAAUUGCAAUGGUUGGAGAGGGGGCCAGCAGGAGCCAACUUGGUGAGAUUAAGACUGAGCUAAAGGGACCAUGAAGCAGAGACAGAAAAGAAUGUGCUGGAAGAUCUGGGAGGUGGGGGAAGGCCAGGCAGACCCCACCCCCGGGACUGGGGUGCUUCCCCCUUGUGCCUCUAGCGUUGCUUUCAGCACCGUCAGGAAACAUCACUGAGGUCAUGGUCGGCCCUGCCGGGUCUCAGCAGGCCUGCUUUGCUGACUAGAGCAUCUGCCUGGCUCCCUCCUCUGUCACCUCUCCCUUGGCCCGUGCCAUGUGUGCAGGUUCAGCCAGGCAGGCCCCCAAGCUCCAGAGCACCCCUGUCCCUGGUGGGCCAGAAACGGAGACCCUCAGCAUCAAUCAGCC